UACAUGGGGUGCAAACGUUGCUCGGAAUUAUUGGGCGUAAAGCGCGCGUAGCGGUACGUCUAAGUCGGAUGUGAAAGCCCUCGGCUUAACUGAGGAAGUGCACCCGAAACUGAGUAGCUAGAGUACUAAAGAGGGUCGCGGAAUUCCCGGUGUAGAGGUGAAAUUCGUAGAUAUCGGGAGGAACACCGGUGGCGAAGGCGGGUCUCUGGGCCGUAACUGACGGCUGAGGAGCGAAAGCAUGGGGAGCGAACAGG
rnacentral:rRNA from 1 species